AUCCUGUUUGUGUGGCGCAGUUGAAAUCAAAAAUUCUCUAGUCGAAUCGCGUGUGCUCGUGAAGGAUCAACAUCCGGCGUUCGGAACAAAUACACCCGGUGACUGAACCGGAACGGCGGGAUGGCGGAAUUUUCGCAUAUUUGGGGACUUCUUCUACCAGGCCCGGCGCCUGCUGCGGACACUUCCGGCCGGAUUUGUUCAGGAUGGUCGUUUCGUCUGGAGGCGAAAAUCGUUAGGGGCCUAUUCCACUGAGGAUGGUGCUUCAUAAAUACGCGAGAGUUCAUCCCAAGUACGAAGCAGUAGUUCCGGCACCGGCUACAAACAUUUCGAACAACGUCAGAAAGUUCGGAUUGAAGCAGAAUAUUAAAAGAAAACGACGCGGAAAAAAGUACUAAUUAUUUUAAAUCAUCGAAAAAAACUAUAAAAAUACAAUAAAACUUACCAUAUUUACCAUUAAUUUCAAUGUAUAAAUAUAUGUUUUACAGUACAAUUUAGUGGAGAGAAAAAAAUAAAUACAAUGAAAAUACAAUGAA
rnacentral:lncRNA from 1 species